rnacentral:lncRNA from 1 species
CCCGCCUCCCGGACGGCCUAUUUCAAGGUGCAAGCCCCGCCUCCCGGACGGCCUAUUUCAAGGCGCAAGCCCCGCCUCCAGGGCGGCCUAUUUCAAGGCGCAAGCCCCGCCGCCCGGGUGGCCUAUUUCAGGGCGCAAGCUCCGCCUCCUAGCCCUAUUUCAAGGUGCACCCUCUGCCUCCUGGGCGGCCUAUUUCAAGGUGCAAGCUCCUCCUCCUAGCCCUAUUUCAAGGUGCACCCUCUGCCUCCUGGGCGGCCUAUUUCAAGGUGCACCCUCUGCCUCCUGGGCGGCCUAUUUCAAGGUGCUCGCUGCACAGAUGGGAGUGGUUUUCUGCAGUGGUCACGGAUGAACUCAAUAACACCCAAGUCACACGCUGCUCCACCCUUACAGUGGCCUCGUAUCACAAAAGAACGUGUAGGUUGCUUUGUGCUUUAAGAGAACAGC